rnacentral:rRNA from 1 species
AUUCCAGCUCCAAUAGCGAAUACUAAUUCUGCUGCAGUUAAAAAGCUCGUAGUUGAACUUCUGGUAGGACAGAUCCGGCCUUUGGAUGAAUGUCCAUUGUAUGCUGUGUGUCUUGUCUGGCCAUCCUUUAUGUCUUUUAGGCGUAAUCUUUCACUGUAAAAAAAUUAGGGUGUUUCAAGCAAAAGUUAUUUGGAAUAUAUUAGUAUGGGAUGAUAAGAUAGGCUCUUGAGUGCUACUUUGUUGGUUUAUACACUUAGAGAAUGAUUAAGAGGGACAGUUGGGGGUAUUUAUAUUGGAUGGUUAGCGGUGAAAUGCAUGGAUCCAUUCAAGAUAAACUAAGGCGAAAGCAUUUACCAAGGAUGUUUUCAUCG